rnacentral:tRNA from 1 species
GGUUGCGUAGCUCAGCUGGAUAGAGCACCUGCCUUCUAAGCAGGCGGUCCCAGGUUCGAAUCCUGGCGCAAUCACUA